rnacentral:rRNA from 1 species
UACGAAGGGGGCUAGCGUUGCUCGGAAUCACUGGGCGUAAAGCGCACGUAGGCGGAUUGCUAAGUCAGGGGUGAAAUCCUGGAGCUCAACUCCAGAACUGCCUUUGAUACUGGCGAUCUUGAGUCCGGGAGAGGAGAGUGGAACUGCGAGUGUAGAGGUGAAAUUCGUAGAUAUUCGCAAGAACACCAGUGGCGAAGGCGGCUCACUGGCCCGGUACUGACGCUGAGGUGCGAAAGCGUGGGGAGCAAACAGG